GGGGGGAGCAAGCGUUGUUCGGAUUUACUGGGCGUAAAGGGCGCGUAGGCGGCCAGCACAAGUCAGUUGUGAAAUCUCCGAGCUUAACUCGGAAAGGUCAACUGAUACUGUGCGGCUAGAGUGCGGAAGGGGCAACUGGAAUUCUUGGUGUAGCGGUGAAAUGCGUAGAUAUCAAGAGGAACACCUGCGGCGAAGGCGGGUUGCUGGGCCGACACUGACGCUGAUGCGCGAAAGCCAGGGGAGCGAACGGGAUUAGAUACCCCGGUAGUCCUGGCCUUAAACGAUGAAUGCUUGGUGUCUGGGGUUAUAAAGUCCCCGGGUGCCGUCGCUAACGCUUUAAGCAUUCCGCCUGGGGAGUACGGUCGCAAGRSUG
rnacentral:rRNA from 1 species